rnacentral:rRNA from 1 species
UACGGGGGGGGCAAGCGUUGUUCGGAAUUACUGGGCGUAAAGGGCUCGUAGGCGGCCAACUAAGUCAGACGUGAAAUCCCUCGGCUUAACCGGGGAACUGCGUCUGAUACUGGAUGGCUUGAGUUUGGGAGAGGGAUGCGGAAUUCCAGGUGUAGCGGUGAAAUGCGUAGAUAUCUGGAGGAACACCGGUGGCGAAGGCGGCAUCCUGGACCGACAUUGACGCUGAUGAGCGAAAGCUAGGGGAGCAAACGGG